rnacentral:lncRNA from 1 species
AGAAGAGGGCACCAGAUCUCAUUACAGAUGGUUGUGAGCUACCAAGUGGUUGCUGUGUUCUAAUGAUUAAUGGGUGCUGAGACAUAGUUUCUCAUUGUCAUGAAGGCAGACACAGGAUCCUUUUCACUUUUUGAGCCUAAUGGUUGGGCAGCUUUUGGAGUUACUGUUGGUGGACAGUCCUUACUUUUCUUACUAGUUCCUGGAAUGGACCUUCUGCUCCUUAUUUUUCCCUUGAGGCUGAACUUCAUCAACCCUUUUUCCUCAGUCACCACCCACAGUGAAUAGAGGGAGGCAGAUCUCUGCCAGUGCUGAGCUCUGUGUCCCAAAUGGGACACUUUGCAUUCCAAGUUCUUCAACCCAUUUCAUUGGAUCUGCUUUGCCAGAAAGAGAUGCUACAGGGACAGUUCCUCUCAAGUCCGUCUCACCCAUUUCUUCCUGAGACGCAUUAAAAGCUUUACUGCAGAAGGAUCCGAAUGUCCUGUGUCGUUCUUGCUGGCGAGGCGAUUGCGUGGGACAUCUGGUGCCGAAACCCGGGAACUUGUUAACAUCGCCGGCACUGCGGAGACCCCUCUAACGGGGCGGAUUCAGAACUGCAGGGUGGAUGAAGAGAAUCCCCUGUGGAUCCCGGAAAGACUCACCCGAAGAGCCCCUUCGGACCUUCAAAAGUCGGAACUCCACCCUCUCCCAGGGAGUUGAGAGCCACUAUUAUCCAGAUUAACUCCUAUUUUAAGGAAAGGGUGGGGAUGUGAUUGUUUGGUGCAGCCGUUUGCUGCGGAUUGAUGUUGCUUCUCUGGCUGGUCUGUAGGCUCAGGGCUCAAACUAAGAGAGACAAGGUGGUUAUCGCCCAAGCGCUUGUAGCUUUGGAACAAGGGGCUUCCACUGAUAUUUGGCUAACUAUGCUUAAGCAAUAGGCCGCCGGCCAGACAGCUCUUGCACACCCGGAGCCUAGGCUCAUUGCACAGGGUAGAGUGUCUGGUUUGAGCAGCCCAUGAGGGAUGUUGAGCAAGGCAUCGCACAGAGAGUUGCCCAGUAUGCAGGCUUCUCUGGGAGGCAUGUUGUCCUGCAUAAGGGUUGCCUGCCCUAGUCUCCCUUUCCCAGAAAAACGGCAGAGGACAGGUCGAGAGCGCUUCGGGUCAAGCUAACAGCCUGAUGGCGACUCUUGUACACAGUCUUAAUGUUUGAUUGGGAAGGUACAACCUCUGCCUCUAUCCCUCAACAUAUGGGUGACCUAUUUGCUUGUAAAAAUAUAAAGCCUUAUCAUUAAUUAAUAAAAAAGGGGGAGAUGUAGGGAGCCGUCCCUGCAUUCUCCAUUACAAUGAUGGCGCCUGCAGGCACUGAAUGUAAACAAGAUUAUUGCGCAGGCGCUGGGUAAUUUUCCAUUCCUUGAUCUCUGCCUAUUCCGUGGCGUCAUAUGGCCUGAUGAGCUGCAGCCAAUCAUAGGGUGACACGUCCCAGGCGGCGGCUGCCAGCCUUUAUUAGGGGACGGGAUUCUUGGCUCGGGGUCUCCGCUCUGGUAAGCUUAUGCUCUCCUCUCAAGACG